GUAGGGGUGAUAGUUAAAGGAUGCAAUGUAGGAUAGGGAUGGUUAGACUUCACAUCUCUGCUAACAAAUGGAUUAUACAGAGAGGGAGAGCUGGGGGACAGCGGUUUUAUUCUACCUGAGGAAUGCUAUAGGGUUUAUGCCAGAGUAGGUUUUGUGUCAGAGUAAUAGGAGGUGUGGGGUAAACAGGCAUUACAAAGAAAGGUGUCUGGCUGUUGCAAAGCAUUUUCUGAUUCUGAUUUCUAUGGCAGGUGUAAUUUUCAGAAGCAAAGAAUGAGAUAAAGGGAAAAUAAAUACAUUCCUUCUGAAAGGGAGAUAAAGCAAAAUAAAUCCAGUCCUAGUUCCUGGGUAUAGCAACAGGCCAACAAUGUCUAGAAUUCUCAAGAUGUUCACACACAGAAUUAUCAAGGUUGGAAAAGACCUAGAAGAUCAUCUAGUCCAACCAUUACCAAUACUUCCAGGCUAAAUCAUAUUCAUCAACACAACAUCCAAACAUUUCUUGAACACUCCCAUGGUCGGUGACUCCACCACCUCUCUGGGCAGUGCAUUCCAAUGCCUGACUACCUAUAUUCAUCCAUAUCAGACAUACUAUCUAUGUAAAGUGCCUGUUGAUGGUCCAUGUGGACCAUGAAUCACAAACAAAGAGCAGCCUUGAUAUCCUGAGAGGCCCAGGAUGAGACUGAACGGUUUGUGAAGGCAGAUUUACAACAAAAGUCAAACAGAGAGCUUGAGUGGAGAGAUGAUCAAUGCCGAGAAAGCAUCACCUUCUGUGAUCAGAGGAAAGUAGUGAAUGAGGUUGGAAAAAGUCAUGUGAAAUAUAAACAAAUCUUACAAAGUGUCAUCAUUUCAAAGGGUGUCAACAGUAAUUUACUGUGGGGAUUUUCCUGUAACAAGAAGAUGAAAGACAGAUGUUUAAUUAAACAGCCAAUGAAAAUGGAUGACUCUUGGAAGAGUGGAUAAAACAACUGUAAGAAGGACAGGUCCUAUUGAUUGAUGGUUUCUAUCAUAGACAGAUCUGUUUCAAGUGAGCUACACUGCAGGGUUUACAGAAGCUCCAAAAGCUUUCCUGAAUCCUGUGAGGUAGCAGGAGCAGUGCCCAGGACACGGCAUGAGGUGCCAGCAACAGCAACCAGCCUGAACAAGCUCACUGCAAGCAGGUAUGAAAUCCUACAGGAAAAGCAGAGAUGA
rnacentral:lncRNA from 1 species